CCUCUCCGGGCGGCCUGGGCCGGGCCCGGCGGCUGCGGCGGCGCGAGCGCUGCCCUGACGUCAGUGCGGCCGCGGCCCCUGCCUGCCCUGGCGGCUCAAAUCUGUCCCUCGAGCCGAGCGGCAGGAAUCCGUCCCCACGCCCUUCUCCUUUAAAGGACAACGGGCAGAGGGUGGGGAGGGCCGCUGCGCCCCCGCGAUCCAUUCAGGUCAGAAGGGAGAGUGAUCAAACAGGAAGGCUGAGGUGAUCCAGUAAAGGCCUGACUGAAGGGCUCAUGUGAGCUGAGACCUGAAGGAGAAGAAUGAGUCCGCUGUGAAUAGAGUCGCCAUGGAAAGAACAUUUCAGAAGGAUGGAGUCAUGAGUGCAAAGACCCUAAGAUCCACUCUUCACUCUCCUCCUCCAGCUCUGUGCCUGGUAGGCUGACACACGGACUCCCGACUUGGGCCCCUUUGCUGUCUUCCUGGGAGCAGGAGACUCUGGUAGGAGAUGAGGGGCUGCAAGAGGACACAAGUCGUUGGCAGCCUGCAGUACUUGUAACCUACUGAUACUGGGACCACCAUCUGCAUCAUCUAUCAGAAUAAAUCCCCUGAAGGAAAACAGAAAUCCUGCAUUAGCAUGGACUCUGGAGGAUGACAUUCAAGCUCCCAGUCUCCUCUCUCUGGCAGACACUUUUCUUAUCGAUCUCCAGGACCUGGUGGUGUAUUUGGAAAUUAGAAAUUAUCCUUGUUUGGGUGACUGCCUUCGGCUCAGGUCAUGAUUGUGGAGUCCCGGGAUCAAGUCCUGC